CGAAGGAGUGGCGAACGGGUGGAGUAAUACAUAAGCAACCUACCCACCGAAGAACUGGGAGUAAUCUCUGGAAACGGGGGACGUAAUACCGGAUAGGUAAUCGGAAGGCAUCUUCUGGUUAUUAAAGGUUAAAAAACAACUGGUGGAUGGGCUUAUGGCGCAUUAGUUAGUUGGUGAGGUAACGGCCCACCAAGACGAUGAUGCGUAGCCGGCCUGAGAGGGUGAACGGCCACAUUGGGACUGAGACACGGCCCAGACUCCUACGGGAGGCAGCAGAG
rnacentral:rRNA from 1 species